UAAUAAGUGUUUUAUGGCACUUUUUAAAUCCAUAUCCACCUUGUGUGCAAUGCUCAGUCGAUCUUCUUCAUGCGAGAUCGACCAAACAUCAACCUUUAUCUUUUAACUCUUUGUCUGAAAAAUAUUAUGAAUAAACAAUUCAAAUA
rnacentral:misc_RNA from 1 species